rnacentral:rRNA from 1 species
UGGGUGCGGCGCGAGUGCCAUGUGAGGGGGCGGCGAUGUGAGUACGCGGCCUGCGAGCACGCCGCGCGACCGGGAGGAGCAGCCCCCGAACGGAUUCCCAAAAACCCAGUGGC